GUUCAGGCCUCUCUCCUCCAAAAUGGCUGCCCUUUGGUUCUGUUGAGUCUUUGGUGUUUGUUCAAGCAUCGUCUGAGUAUUACAUGUUUCACGGGACAAAGAACCAGUAAAUUUCACCAAAGCCAGCCGCUCUCUGUGAAGUUCUUCUGGGUCUACGUUUAACUGUUUGGAUAGCUAGUGCAGCAUCUAGCAAGGCCAUUUACAAUUGUCUUUUCACUGGGACAUGUAAUCAGGAGUGAAAUGGCGAGGCGGUUUAGAUGAAGAUUGUUAGUCAUGAGAUAACAUGUGAACCAUAUGUAUUGUGAUGUCAUGAAAUGUGCUUAUCUGUGAAAUGAUUUCAAAUAAAAGUGCUGCUCAGAGAGGUGUGAGGCAGAGUAGGGCAGGAAGCGGACAGACAGCCACACAACUCUCCUUGCGUAUAAAAUAC